AACGAACGCUGGCGGCAUGCCUAACACAUGCAAGUCGAACGAGACCUUCGGGUCUAGUGGCGCACGGGUGCGUAACGCGUGGGAACCUGCCCUUAGGUUCGGAAUAACUCCCCGAAAGGGGUGCUAAUACCGGAUAAUGUCUUCGGACCAAAGAUUUAUCGCCUUUGGAUGGGCCCGCGUUGGAUUAGCUGGUUGGUAGGGUAAAAGCCUACCAAGGCCACGAUCCAUAGCUGGUCUGAGAGGAUGAUCAGCCACACUGGGACUGAGACACGGCCCAGACUCGUACGGGAGGCAGCAGUGGGGAAUAUUGGACAAUGGGCGAAAGCCUGAUCAAGCAAUGCCGCGUGAGUGAUGAAGGCGUUAGGGUUGUAAAGCUCUUUUACCCGGGAUGAUAAUGACAGUACCGGGAGAAUAAGCUCCGGCUAACUCCGUG
rnacentral:rRNA from 1 species